rnacentral:tRNA from 1 species
GCCCACUUAGCUCAGAAGGUAGAGCGUUAGCCUUUUAAGCUAAUGGUCGUGGGUUCGAUCCCCACAGUGGGUGC